UACGUAGGGUGCGAGCGUUGUCCGGAAUUAUUGGGCGUAAAGAGCUCGUAGGCGGUUUGUUGCGUCUAUCGUGAAAACCUGCGGCUUAACUGUGGGCUUGCGGUGGAUACGGGCAGACUUGAGUUCGGUAGGGGAGACUGGAAUUCCUGGUGUAGCGGUGAAAUGCGCAGAUAUCAGGAGGAACACCAUGGCGAAGGCAGCACUCUGGGACGUGACUGACGCUGAGACGCGAAAGCGUGGGGAGCAAACAGG
rnacentral:rRNA from 1 species